rnacentral:rRNA from 1 species
GAUGAACGCUAGCUACAGGCUUAACACAUGCAAGUCGAGGGGAUACGAUAUUGGAAGCUUGCUUCCGAUAGGCGUCGACCGGCGCACGGGUGAGUAACGCGUAUCCAACCUGCCCACCACUUGGGGAUAACCUUGCGAAAGUAAGACUAAUACCCAAUAAUAUCUCUAGAAGACAUCUGAAAGGGAUUAAAGAUUUAUCGGUGAUGGAUGGGGAUGCGUCUGAUUAGCUUGUUGGCGGGGUAACGGCCCACCAAGGCGACGAUCAGUAGGGGUUCUGAGAGGAAGGUCCCCCACAUUGGAACUGAGACACGGUCCAAACUCCUACGGGAGGCAGCAGUGAGGAAUAUUGGUCAAUGGGCGAGAGCCUGAACCAGCCAAGUAGCGUGCAGGAAGACGGCCCUAUGGGUUGUAAACUGCUUUUAUAGGGGGAUAAAGUGUGCCACGUGUGGCAUAUUGCAGGUACCCUAUGAAUAAGGACCGGCUAAUUCCGUGCCAGCA